CAGUCGCCGCGGGAAAACGUAGGUGGCAAGCGUUGUUCGGAUUUACUGGGCGUAAAGGGCGCGUAGGCGGACUGAUAAGUCAGGGGUGAAAUCCCAAGGCUCAACCUUGGAACUGCCUUUGAUACUGUUUGUCUUGAGUUCGAGAGAGGUAAGUGGAACUGCGAGUGUAGAGGUGAAAUUCGUAGAUAUUCGCAAGAACACCAGUGGCGAAGGCGGCUUACUGGCUCGAAACUGACGCUGAGGCGCGAAAGCGUGGGGAGCAAACAGGAUUAGAUACCCGAGUAGUCCCUGUCUCUUAUAA
rnacentral:rRNA from 1 species